rnacentral:rRNA from 1 species
AGAGUUUGAUCCUGGCUCAGAGCGAACGGUGGCGGCGUGGAUUAGGCAUGCAAGUCGAACGCGAAAGGCUGGGCAACUGGCCGAGUAGAGUGGCGGACUGGUGAGUAAUGUAUGGAUAACCUACCCUGGAGACGGGAAUAACCACUGGAAACGGUGGCUAAUACCCGAUGGUCCAACCGAGAUGUAUUUUUGGUUGGUAAAGAGAGCAAUCUCGUUCUGGGAGGGGUCCAUAUCCUAUCAGCUAGUUGGUGAGGUGAUGGCUCACCAAGGCGACGACGGGUAGCCGAACUGAGAGGUCGAUCGGCCACAUCGGAACUGAGAACUGUCCGGACUCCUACGGGAGGCUGCAGUCGAGAAUCUUCUGCAAUGGGCGCAAGCCUGACAGAGCGACGCCGCGUGCGGGAUGAAGGCCCUCGGGUUGUAAACCGCUGUCACUCGUUAAGAAAGCCUGGGGUAGGCCUCCAGGUUGACGUUAGCGAGAAAGGAAGUCACGGCUAACUUCGUGCCAGCAGCCGCGGUAAGACGAAGGUGACGACCGUUGCUCGGAAUCACUGGGCAUAAAGCGCGCGUAGGUGGCUUGGUAAGUCCAUGGUGAAAUCCCUCGGCUCAACCGAGGAACUGCCGUGGAUACUGCCGAGCUUGAGAACGGGAGGGGUAAGUGGAACUCUCGGUGUAGCGGUGAAAUGCGUAGAUAUCGAGAGGAACGCCGGUGGCGAAAGCGACUUACUGGACCGUUUCUGACACUGAGGCGCGAAAGCUAGGGGAGCAAAUAGGAUUAGAUACCCUAGUAGUCC